UCGGAUCAGGUAGGCAUAUCAAUAAGCGGAGGA
rnacentral:rRNA from 1 species